AUCUUCUAGAGUGGAAGUCGGGGUGAUUCAACUUCAAGCCCUUAGGCUCUGGGUUUCUGCUUGGAAUGUUUGCUUGGGUGGGACUUGGCUUUUCCUGCCUGUAAGCCUUUCCUCCACCUGUCACUGACUCCACAUACUCCUCAUAUUAGCUUUCAGCAAAAGACUCACACCUGGCUUUAUUCUCUUUAUUGACAGUUCCUUCUCCAGGUCUCCAUGGAUUCUGAUCUUUCUGAUCUUUCUUUGCUUAGCAUCCUGCUGGUAGAAUCUCUCAGGGAUCCUCCUGAGAACUGCUAUCUGGGUUCAGCCUGUAGAUCUUCCCAAAUGGAAAUCAGUGUAUCCAUCCAUCACAUUCAAACGCUUUCCCCCAUUUGGCACAAAAUUCAGGGAGGAGCAGGUUGUGACCUGUGGACCUUGGCCAGGGGCAACAGAGUUAUGGGAGCCAUCAGAGUGGAUGCCUUUGCCCCCAGUUUCAGUUUGAAAGAGGACAGACACUUUUGAUUCCUUCUCGGAGGGCUGCGAAGUCAGAAGUCAGUUCUCCAAAUAGAUUUCUUUCUCUUUCUUUAUUUAAUGCUUUUGCAAUCAGAAAUUACACCCCUCCCAUAAGUUCUUAAACUAGGAAACCCACACAUUACAGCCAUUCAGUUUUAUUUCAGACAAUAUUUGCCGCAAUAAAAAAGCUACUUACCAGUAAAUAUAACUUUUUUCUCUUUUAUUUCGUCUCAAAUCUUUAAUCAUUAUGAGUCAAACUGAAUUAUUCAUAAUUCUUAAAACAACAUAAUGUUGGGCAUGUUUACUAUAAUUUAACGUGGCAAUUUAGACCGGAGGAAAAUGCUGCUGUUUAUUCUCCAUUUCCACGUGUAACUAAGGAAUCAAUCUUGGUUCAACUUGAUGUCCCUGCUUGGUGGCAAUGCCUUCAUACCAUGUGCGUACAUCGCAUGCGUUCUUGAAGUUUUAUUUUUACUCAUUUUUAAUUAGAAAUAUAUCCCUUAGGCAAAAUAAAGGAAAUUAUUCAUUUUUGUGGAAAUGCUGCAAACUAUAGCUUGAGGGCUGUUCUGGAGCCUUCCUUAGGGCUGUGUAUCUUCAGCGAAUAGCAUUUUGCUUAUAACCUCAUGAGACCCUUAUGGGAGAAUCGUACCACUAAUUGAGCAACCACCAUAGGUCUCAUUUUUAAAAAUGGUCUUACAUAUGUGCUAACACGGAAAAUGUGGGUUAUGAAGAACGUACGAGUGGGAGCUGUCCCUUGAUAGAUUGGCUUCUAAAUGUCUGAUUGGAAUAAGUUGCACAACUCUAGCCACUGGUAUCUGGGCGUUAAUAACAGUCUUAGACUUGCAAAAAUAGAAAUUCUAGUUUUAGUGGGAAAUGGUUGUUUAAAGCCUUCCCUCAGGAGGCCUCCAUUUGCCUCUGCAUUUAAGUUCUCUGUAUCAACCUACAUCAGAGUCACCAUCCUACGUCUGCAUCCCAGGACUGAAGGCUUGUUGCCAUAGAGAUUUGAACUUUGGAUUUUAUAAUUUUUUUUUCAUUGUGGGUGGUUAAACUCACUUGGCUCCUAUAACAAACAUGAUUCAGAGAAGGAACACACUGAAACUUUUACCUUAAGUUACCAAUGGCAAACUGACAGCAAUAUCCUAAUGUCAGGAGUGCUGACAGCCAGCAAGAAUCCACCUUAAGAACCAUGGAAGGAGCGAUGGGUCAGAGGUUAAGAGUACUUGGUGCUCUUGCAGAAUAGCAGAGUUCAGAUCCCAGCACCGAGACUGGGCAGCUCAAAUUGCUUAUAACUCGAGGUCCAAGUGGGAAAUUCGGUGCUCUCAUCUGACCUCUGAGAGCAGCUGCUUGCAUUUCAUGGAAUGCCUCUUUCUGGAAGGAACUUAGGUGAGUUCUGAAUAUGUAUAUGUUGCGGGAAAGCCAAUUUUGGAGAUCAUGAUCUUAUUCCUCGUGUCUCAGCUCCAUAACUUGAUAUAGAUCUCCAGGCAGCACUCCUGGUCUGGCUUGAUCACAGGACAGCUAGCCCUGCCCCACCCCAAAGGCUUUCCUUUUUCUAGACAGGGAAGUGGCGUUCCUUUCUCUAUACCCCAGCAGUACCUCGAGUCUUCUCAGGUCCUACUGGUCUCUUGGCACAGGUUUCAGUUGUGUUUUUUGUCUUUGGGUAUGAGAAUCUUCAAACUACCAAACAGUGGGGUCAGUGGUAUACAGACUUUCUCCUGAUCCCACCUGAGUUAACAGGGAGGCCUGAGGGCAUUCCACUGCACAAGCUAGCAUAACCAGCUUCCAGCAGAAAUCCAAGUCUGGUCCAUCCUUUUCCACAGUGCUAUCAACUGAUGUCUAUUCUCUAAUGAAUAAUUAUAAUACUGAAUCACAUGCUGAUAUCCCGGAUACCACAAUAUAUCAAAGUUUGCUUCAUUAAUAGGAAAAUAUUAGUGCCAUCAGCAGUUAGCUGUCUAUGGACCUGAUGACUGUAGGCGAGCUAACGUUCAUUUAUCUGUGGUUUAUGGCUAGUUUGUUCAAUCACAUAGAAUUUAUCUUUGCCACACCUUAAUCAUUUAAGUCAUUUCCAAGAUGCAUUUAACCAGGUUAUCAAAGAUGCAAAACUUGGUCAAAAUUUAUGCUGAAUGUUGCCAUGAACUACUUGAAGAUUUUAUAGGAUGAAAAUAUUUAUGGGACCCAACUUUUUUUUCUAAACGGAAUUUGAAAUCCACCCUCUCCAUUUCUCCCAUUAAUUUCCCAAUUGGGGGAAAGAACAACUCCUCAUGGGUAUCAUCUAUUUCUAGUAAUUUCUCUGUAGUACAGAGCUUUUGGCUGAAGACAAGAGCACUUGUAUACCACUCCUCCCAAGGCCUCAUGAAUGCCUUACAACAAAUGAAACAAGAUGCUAGAUGCGGCCCCACUGAAGACACUGACAUGCAGACGAAACCGUGUCCACAGACAUUCAUUCACAAUGCGCAUCUGGUACGACACCCUCAAAACUGAGAAGUCUUUACUUGCUACUCUGGGGAUGGGUAGGUGAGGUUUUUGUUUUUGUUUUGUUUUGUUUUUUUUACUUUUCAAUUCAGUCUCUGAUUGUCUAUUAGCCCAGCACCUCAAGCAGAUCUUAUGUGACAUUCAUCCUUGCUCUAGAACAAGAGGUUUAGUUCCAGAUACUUCUUGCUAGAUCUAGAUAUGACCUCGUCUUUUGAAACAUGCAUGCACGCAAGCCUGCCAUUUGCAGCAGAAAGGAUUUAAACGCAGAUGUUAAAAACGCUCCCUUCGAACUAAAGUCAGAAAGGAAAAUAUCAGGGAUCCUUCAGUAUCCCUGCACACUGUGAAAUCUCGGCAUGUGCUGGAAAUAACACCCAUUGUUCUGUACAGCACAUCUCUGGCUCUUUCGUUAGACAAAUGAAUGACAACACGGCACUUAUUAUUCAACUCAGAUCUCUGAUAGGCCUAGCUCGUUUGCAUAGAGAAAACAUAUGGAGUGUAUUUUAGAUUUAUGUCUGUGCUUCCCUCUAAGAUCUCCGAGUCCAAUGGAAAUCACUAGACACAUGAUAAAUUUCCCUUUAGAUACAACAUCUAAAGCAGGCAUGAUUGUGGAAAAGGAAGUGGAGGAGAUAUUUUUCUUAAGCUAACAUUGUCUAGUUUUUCUUAGAUAUAGCUCCCAAUGGGAAAUAUACAUGUCAAAACAAAGCAGGUCGGAGUAAAAGAAUUCACAUGGAGAGAGAUUUAAUUGCAAGGGGAUUCAGCACUGCCCCAGGCCCGUUUGCAGUAGAGUAUUAAUGAUGGAGUGAGACACAGGGAUGAGAAAUAUCUGAUGUUGCUCAGGAAUAAUAAAAGACCCACCAACCUGCCUUAAUUCAGUGCCAGGAAUAACACUGGGCAUACUUUUAUUGACUUACAUAAAUUCUUCUCCACUGCAGCUCAUAUUAGGAGACUCAGAAAGAAAUCAGUACAGCAGCAGAGAUAGACCAGGGAAAAGUUGGAGGGAUUGGAGAAGAAAAAUGACCCCCUUGAAUCCAGCUUUCUCCUGGAGGCCGCGCUCCUGGUGAUGGACUGGGUGACUGACAGAUCCUAGGCCCCACCCAUGCAUGAGGUUGUGCUUUCUAAAUUUAAAACUUGAGGCAUAUUUUCUUGAUGAUAGAAGAAUCGAUUUUUUUCCAUUUUCUUUUCUUUUAUUGGAUAUUUUCUUUAUUUACAUUUCAAACGUUAUCCCCUUUCGGGGUUUCCCUUCUGCAAAUGCCCUAUCCCAUCCCCCCUCUCCCUGUUUCUAUGAGGGUGAUCCCCUAUCCACUCACUUACUCCGUCCCACCUUCCUACCCUAGCAUUCCCCUACACGGGGGCAUCAAGCCUUCACAGGACCAAGGGCCUCUCUUUCCACUGAUGCCCAACAAGACCAUUCUCUGCUACAUAUGCAACUGGAGCCAUGGGUUGCUCCAUGUGUACUCUUUGGUUGGUGUUUUAGUCCCUGGGAACUCUGGGAGAUAUGCUUGGUCGAUAUUGUUGUUCUUACUAUGGGGUUGAAAACACCUUCAGCUCCUUCAGUCCUUUCUCUAACUCUUCCAUUGGGGACCCUAUUCUCAGUCCAGUGUUUGGCAUCUGACUCUGUAUUUGUCAGGUUCUGGCAGAUCCUCUCAGGAGACAGCUAUAUCAGGCACCUGUCGGCUUGCACUUCUUGGCAUCUGUAAUAGCGUCUGAGUUUGGUGACUGUGUAUGGGACGGAUCCCCAGGUGGGGCAGUCUCUGGAUGGCUUUUCCUUCAGUCUCUGCCUCACACUUUGUCUCUGUAUUUCCUACUGUAUUUUGUUCCCUCUUCUAGGAAGGACUGAAGCAUCCACACUUUGGUCUUCCUUCUUCUUGAGCUUCAUGUGGUCUGUAAAUUGUAUCUUGGGUAUUCUGAGCUUUUGGGCUAAUAUCCAAUUAUCAGUGGGUUCAUACCAUGUGUGAGAAGAACACAUUAUCAUUCUGUAUCACUGGGCUUUGUAAUUUUUGAGGCUGGCUCCUGUCUCCAUGUUCAGAACCUUCAGGAACGUGAGUGAACACCUUGGGAUCCCUGCUCUGUCCUUCAAAGGAAACAGCAGAAUCAAGCCAUAAGGCUCCUGCUUUGUUGCUUCUCCAUGAAGACCUAGACAAGCUAGCUGGACUGCGAAUCCCUAGCCUUAGCCAGUAGCUCCAGCACAGACUGUUCAUCUGAAAACUUACCUUUUCCGGGUACAACUCAACAUGCUAUUGAUCUAUACAGAAACUGGAAGCGCUGGAGAUGGUGCCAAGAAGAUUCUGAAAAGCAAUUCUCAUCCAUUGCCUCUAUUGAGUUUUAACAAGUUUGGUAAUAGAGGCUUGAAAUCCAGAUGUCAAAGAUCUACUAAAACAACAAAGAUUUCCCUUCCCUCCCAGACCAAUAUGGCCUCUCUGUGUUGUAUGCUGAUCUGCGGAAGGGGACUCACCUGUAUCCUCAUGGAGUCCUGAGGUCCUCAUGAACAAACCCAUCAGACUUGCAGGUGUCGUUAUUCCCCUAGCACUUUGCUCAAAUCAUAGAGGUCAGCAUAACUGAUAACCUAGAAGAUUGUGAGGACCGUGAAUGCCAUCAUCCAGAGCCUGCAGGAAGUAAGCCCGCUAUGUCAAUGAGGCUGCUAGGAACUGUGGUCUCACCCAGCAAGUUCAGAUGAACUUGGUAAGGUGGAAGUUCACUUCCCUUCCACCAUAGUUUUGUGAUCUGGGCAGGGUGUGGGCAGGGCAUUUGGAGAAGGAUAGCGGUUUAGAUCAGCUCAUUAAAAACACAACCAUGACCCUGCAGUUCUAUGCCUUGCCCAGGUGAGUCAGCAGGGACUUUGACCGAGGCUGUACCUGCUAGGCCAUCAUUCUCAGUGCCAUAAAUCAAAGGCUCACAUAAAGGUAUAGAACAAUUCUUAAUAUGGCACAGUCUUUGGACUCAUGUAGGUCAGUCUGGUAGAUCUGUGUGUACAACUCUUAGAAUAGUAACUUAGUUUAAGGGGCAAGAUAUAGAGGACAAGUUGAUCAUAGCCAAUAGAUAUCUCUUAUAUUUGAGGUCGGCAAUUUAAAUUAGAAACAGUAAAUCUAUAUUAAUAAUUCCAUUAUUAUUUUCCUUUGAUAUACAAAUUAGCUAAGACAGAAGCUUAAUAAAAAUAUCACAUAUACACACAUACACAAACACACACAUACACACAUUCACACACACACACACACACACACACAAAUGGUACUCAUAGUAUCAGGAGAUAAAGAUAGAAUUUUUUUUUAAUUCUUAAAGCAUGGCCCAGAGGGAUGGGUUUAGUCAGGUAUGGAACUUACUCUGCAGUAAUGUGGUAGAAUGUAGGAAGAAUGUGAAGUUGAAUCCUUCAUUAGGGUCCCGUUCCAAAAGGAUGGGCAGAAGCAGUUCUCUGCCAUCCCAUUGACAAGACGUUUACCAUAACAGGCUCCCCAAACCAUGAAGUAUAUUCUCUAACUGUGUCUCACAGGCAUCCCCUCUUUGAUGCAGAGUAGGCUUUAUUGAAAGGAUGAUCGUGAUCAUUUGUGUAGCUUGUCUUUCUUCAUUUCAGUAAAUGUUUUUUCCAUACCAUUCAAUGCUGAUUCUUAUAGUGUCAGAAAGCAAUGGACAUCAAUAUUUUGCAAAGUGUUGCUUUAUACCUUUCUAUGUUUGGAAACAAUUGAAACAUAAUCAAAACUUUGAGUUGCAAA